rnacentral:rRNA from 1 species
UACCAGCACCCCGAGUGGUCGGGACGAUUAUUGGACCUAAAGCAUCCGUAGCCGGUCCUGCAAGUCUUCCGUUAAAUCCAGCUGCUCAACAGAUGGGCUGCGGAGGAUACUACAGGGCUAGGAGGCGGGAGAGGCAAGCGGUACUUUAUGGGUAGGGGUAAAAUCCGUUGAUCCAUAGAAGACCACCAGUGGCGAAGGCGGCUUGCCAGAACGCGCUCGACGGUGAGGGAUGAAAGCUGGGGGAGCAAACCGG